GGGUCAGUAGGUUGGUCGUGCCACCGGUACGUACUGGUCUCACUGAUUCCUCCUUCCCGAAGAACCGUAAUGCUAUUAAUUUGGUGUUGCGGGGAAACAGGACUGUUACUUUGAAAAAAUUAGAGUGUUUAAAGCAAGCUAACGCUUGAAUACAUUAGCAUGGAAUAAUGAAAUAGGACGAUCGAUCCUAUUUUGUUGGUUUCUAGGAUUGACGUA
rnacentral:rRNA from 1 species